rnacentral:lncRNA from 1 species
UUUUCGGCCUUCCUAAUGCUCUAGUUACAGGGUUGCUUUUUUUAUCUCUCAAUACUGUUACUCUCAGUCUCUCAUCAUUAUAUAAGUUGACAGGGUUGUCAUUUAAAUUAAUUAAACAGCGUGAUUCCAGAGAUCUGGUGAAGACGAGGUUGCUGGCCAGUGGCCAAGUAUGGCCAUCUAGGAAAAUAACUUUCCUUCUUCAAUUUAAUUUCCAAUCUGUUCCCAAUAGGCAAUAUUAAUGCAGACUUGCGCAUGCACUGAAGUAUAUCCUUCUUUCAUAUUGGGAUAAUAAAGACAGAUGUACGUCACUGCAAGUCUGCAUUCACAACGUACAAACACUUAUGGCUACAGUUUUAAUCAUUACAGACAUUUGUUCAUUACAGACUCCACAAACAUUUUGGCAAUUAAAUGGGAAAAGGAAAUCCAAUGGCAAUGGAGGAAAUUUUGAAUUAUGAACGAAAGGAUUUCAUGUUCACUGAUGUAUAACAAGUAAUAUGGAGCUUUGUUAUGUUUACGAAAGUCUUGAGAAAGGGUUGUACUGUUUUUAUUUAUUUUGUGUAACAAUUAGGUUGAAGAAGACUGAGGUCAUGCCAUGAACCAGCACUGAAAGAUCAAAGAUCUCCAUUUGCGGAGAUCUUUGAAUAUAAACCCUCGAACAAGACGACAGUUAACCAUAAGUAUACGUUGUACACUAAAUUGCAAAGAAUAAAUUGCAAGAGUUGUUCAACCGUGGAACGCUUUGCCUAGUCAUGUUGCGGAAGCUGAAAAUCUUGCUAAGUUUAAGAGUCAGCUCGAACUGCACAUAAACUUGUUUUAAUUAAUCACUAAAUUAUUAUAGUAACAUUAAUUUUCUCAACUUUGUAUAUAUUAGUAAUUCGUUUUUAUUAUUUUGAGGAUCUUAUCAUAGGGCUAAACUCUAGAUUCUCCAGCAAGAACCUUAAUUUAUAUAUUAUAUUAUUAUUCCUAUAAUGUGUUAAGAUACCUUGAAUAAAUUUCUUGAUUGAUUGAUUUUGUUACUUAGGUAGCAUCCUGCAUGCAGUGGCGUAACGCUGUCAUUGGAUAAAUUGACCUUUUACGCGAAAUAAAGCCGCGAGGUGAAUUAUUCGUAAUAAGCUCAGAGGUAUAAAAGCUAGUCCAAAAUAAUCUGUUACUUAAUGAAAAUUGACUGCUUAUACGAGUUGUUUGUGACUCAUUUAGGCUGCAUCUUAUUUAAGGCAAUUUUAAGCUGAGACGUAUGACAAUACUUCCAGCUAGAUUGUGGACGACUCAAAUCAUUGCUCUUUUACAUGCCUCAAAUGUCGGGGCUUAACUCGAGCGUCGAAUAUUUUCAACGACUUCGAGUUAAUUAAGCCCCUCUUUUUUCUCGGGGCUUAACCACUGAUCUAAUCAGACUUGUUGGAACAACUUGUUGCGAGGCUUAACUCGAACUUUCUAAGUUGUUUAUUUUCUGUGUUGGACUGUUGGUGUUAUGUACUCAGGUGAAUAUGAUGCUUGUGAUGUUACCGUCUAAGUGUAUAUCCACACCGGGCAAGCUUGAAAAAUAUGCCUGGCCACGGUGGUUCGAUUCCCUCACUAACAUCACAAACAUCAUAUUCACCAGAGUGCAUAACACCACAGAAAAAAUCAUGAUUACUAUAGAUUGCAUUGAUAUCGAAGGAACUAGACUCAGUUCCGAAAAAAAAUAUCACAUUUUCGAACUGACCUGACCGCGUAGCGGUAGCUCAGUUGGCAGAGCAUUGGGCUAGUUUUCUAAGUUGUGUUUCUUUUUUCGAGUUAAGCCUCGACGAAAAUGGGUGUGGUUUGGGCGUGGUCGCGGCUUAAGGUGGUCUUCCACUCAAAAUUGAAAAAAGUUUAAAACUAGGUUAAAAUUAUAUAUUUUUGUACCCCUUGGAAGGUAAAGUGACACUGAAUAAAAUUAUGUUUGCGAUACACAUGUUGUUGCCAUGGUAACCAGGUUGGCCCCCAACUGUGAAAAACGGCCAUGUUUUGUGCAAAAGAUAACUUAAGAACCAGUGGUCUAAAAUUCUCAAAAAAAGGCUUAAAGUGUACAGAAAAGGUUGCUGUAUGUUCUGAACCACAAAAAUACUCAUAUAUUUUAUUAAAAGUAAAAAUAUAUGUGAAUUUUCCUAACAAAUGGAGAAUUUGGCCCGAGGCUAACAACAUGUCAAUCAUUUACUACAAUUAUGGUAUUUUUGUCAUUUUUGUUGGUUCAGAACACAAAGCAAUAUCAGAGCAAGCAUUUGUGAAAGUUUCAAAUAAUUACUACUAGUAUUUCUUGGGAUAUCCUUUUCGGAACAAUGCGGGUUGGCCAAAUUUCUGAAUUGGAACAAAUCACGUUUCAAAGUUUAAGAUAAUAUGUGGGCUCACUUAUCUAGAUAUCCCUCAUAAUUGGAGCUCAUUUUCAGCAAAAAUGUUUGAUGCAAUCUAAAAUGAGCCACAUGCAUAAGUUUCUCCCUCUUUUUCUUCAUCCUUGUCCCCCUUUUUCUUCUUCCUCCCACAUAGCACUUUUCUCGGUCCGCAAUCUUACAAUAUCUUGUUCCUUAUAGUCUGUCUUUUUACUUAUCAUAUCGUCAUAUCGAGAACAUUCAGCUUCACAUUAUUUCCCAGGAUUAAUGCCAAUGUUCUUCAGAACUUGAAUAGAAGCUUCACAUCCAACAUUGAAGUGGGCAAUAGCAUCAUGUACUCCAAGUUGCAGUACUUCUCCGACGCGUUUCUUUGACGUGUGUGUUGAUUACCAUAAUAAUUUCGCUUUUCCGAAUAACCAGAUCGAGCACGUCGCAUUUUAAACCAACUUUUAACACCAAACAAAUAGUAAUGAUGUGAAAAUUUAAAUUGCAAAUGAGGAAAUGCUUCGCCUGAACUUUCGCUGUUGAAAUCAGUUUACAGAAUCACUUUCCCAAACGAAAUACUUCAUGUAAACAUGUAUUAAAUGUCC